AGAACGAACGCUGGCGGCAUGCCUAAUACAUGCAAGUCGAACGAACUCUUCGGAGUUAGUGGCGCACGGGUGCGUAACGCGUGGGAAUCUGCCCUUGGGUUCGGAAUAACAGUUGGAAACGACUGCUAAUACCGGAUGAUGACGAAAGUCCAAAGAUUUAUCGCCCAGGGAUGAGCCCGCGUAGGAUUAGCUAGUUGGUGAGGUAAAGGCUCACCAAGGCGACGAUCCUUAGCUGGUCUGAGAGGAUGAUCAGCCACACUGGGACUGAGACACGGCCCAGACUCCUACGGGAGGCAGCAGUAGGGAAUAUUGGACAAUGGGCGAAAGCCUGAUCCAGCAAUGCCGCGUGAGUGAUGAAGGCCUUAGGUUGUAAAGCUCUUUUACCCGAGAUGAUAAUGACAGUAUCGGAGAAUAAGCCCCGGACUAACUCCGUGCCAGCACGCCGC
rnacentral:rRNA from 1 species